rnacentral:rRNA from 1 species
UACAGAGGUCUCGAGCGUUGUUCGGAUUCAUUGGGCGUAAAGCGUGCGCAGGCGGUGAUGUAAGACAGUUGUGAAAUCCCCGGGCUCAACCUGGGAACUGCAUCUGUGACUGCAUCGCUGGAGUGCGGCAGAGGGGGAUGGAAUUCCGCGUGUAGCAGUGAAAUGCGUAGAUAUGCGGAGGAACACCGAUGGCGAAGGCAAUCCCCUGGGCCUGCACUGACGCUCAUGCACGAAAGCGUGGGGAGCAAACAGG